rnacentral:rRNA from 1 species
GACGAACCGUGCAAACGUUGUUCGGAUUCACUGGGCUUAAAGGGCGCGUAGGCGGGCCAUCAAGUCAGGGGUGAAAUCUUUCGGCUCAACCGGAAAAGUGCCUUUGAUACUGGUGGUCUCGAGGGAGGUAGGGGCAUGCGGAACUUCCGGUGGAGCGGUGAAAUGCGCAGAUAUCGGGAGGAACACCGGUGGCGAAGGCGGUUCUCUGGGCCUUACCUGACGCUGAGGAGCGAAAGCGUGGGGAGCGAACAGG